AUUUACACCGACAAAUAUAAACAGCCCAUCAAAUUUAACAUAAUAUUAAGAAAUUUAAUUAACCGUAACAAAAAAUCAACAUCAAACAAUUUUAACGUAACAUUUGAUAAACAUAAUAAGAAUAUCAAAGAAACAAAGAUUUAAAAGAAAAAAUAUAGUCAAAAUCUAAUAAUAAACGUAAAAUUAAAAAAUAUUUAAUGUUUCACAGUGUUUUGUAAUUUAAAAUUCUAUGGUAUCGUUAAACUAAAAUAAAAAUUAAGAAAAAUUAAAUAUAGCGAAGAUAUUAUACAUAGCGUGACUAUACCACCAAAAAAAUUUUUUUUUAGUUCAAAAUAAUCAAUAUGUGGAAUCAGAACAAGGGAUUGCUGAUAGUCGUGAGGGAACAUUCGCUUUUCAUUUUAAAAAUAGGGUUAGAAAAUAUAUUUAUUUUGACUCCGAAGGCAAAAUUGGCUCAACAUUUUAUUGAUUUAUUCUGACUCCUGGGCGACUAAUUUUAUUGAUUUCAUUUUGCUCAUUAAGUUAUUGGGCUCAACAUUGUAUUCCUUUGUGGGUUAUGAAAAACAUAAUUUUUUCUGACCAAAAAAGCUAAUAUUCGUCGUCGUUCUAACAAUGGAAGCUAGGGUUCUUCGUAGUCUGAAGCUGCUGUUAGGUUGAACUCUAUUACAUAAAGUCCCACAUCGCUUAUCAAUGUGAUUCUUGGGCAAUAUAUAAGUGUAUGGGUAAACCUCCAUGAGCUAGAUUUUUGGUGUGAGUUAGGUCCAUCACUAAUAUGGUAUCAGAGCCAGGUUAAAGCCCCAGCAUAUGAUUUCCCACAUAAACAGUUUCCUACCUAUGUAGCCUGUACAAGUGGCCCAUAUUGUUGUGGUAUGUCCGAGAUGUUGGGCUUGGACUGUUUCCAAUGGACCGUUUCCCACCCACAUCUCGAGAGGGGCUAUUAGAUAAAGUCCCACAUCGCUUAUCAAUGUGAUUCUUGGGCAAUAUAUAAGUGAUUCAAAACGUUUUGAUGUGUUAAACGAAACGGUUACCCCAGUUCCUAAGAACACUUUAGGUUCCGUAAUUACAAUGAACUGUUAGCCAACAGCAAUACCCGGCUUCCAGGUAAUUCACUUACUAUCUGCUUCUCCCAUGUUCAGCAUUGUAACCUUUAAGCUUUUUAAUUGUUAAUUCUUUCAGGACAUUAUCGGUCAGCUCACUACUAUCAAGAGCAGUAUCAGUGACUCUUCACAAGGAAACGACUGGUUUGAAGGAGACCAUUCAAAUGAAUCGAUAAGUAAUUAUCUAAUUCAUAUUUAGCUCAGCACCAUUUUCAAAAUUGUUAGCAACUUUUUAAAACAAUACGUGCUGAGCAUUCCUAUCACUGUUCUUCCCGUGGCAGUGAUGUGUCCGUGUCGUUAAGCAUGUUUGACGCACAAGCUGUGUCGUUUCAUAUCAACCUGGACCGCUUCAAGGGUGAUCCAAGAGUUGUUCUAACAACAUGUAUAGAUCCAAAAAUCGUAGGAGAUAAUCUAUCAUGUUCUACCUAUGAUGGUUAACUGAGAUCAACUCCAACGCUCUUGGAACACACUCACGAAUUCAUUAAUUCGCAUGCCGUUUCUUUUUGAAUGCCACCUCUGGGACCAAAUCUACUUCGACAAGGAGACUAAUGCAGGAGAGGAUUACUUUUACAAUAUGAAAAUGCUGAAGUUGUGCUGAUUUUAAUGGGACGGCAACGAUGAUAAUGACGAUGAUAUGCCUGGGAGUGUAUCAUUAGCUACUAAGGUGGACAUUGAUGUUAAAGAUCGUGAGGAGGCACCAACGAUAUGAACUACUUCGACUGGUGUCGAGACCAAUAAGUCUCCUGCUACAGAAACUUCCAAGGUUGCCAAGAAGGCAUGUGUUGCAUAAGCAAAGAUAUUGAAGUAUCUGGACCUACUAUUUUCUAUUUGAAUAUGCUAUGGCAUCGAUGUUGGUUUUCCUUUUUAAAAAGAAAUUGCGGAAGUUGCUACUCUGUUUUUUUUGUUAAAUUUGCUGAACUAUUUUUAUUUUAUGCACUGUUUUUAUUUUCUGAAUUAUCUUAUAAAAUCUGUUUGGCUUUAA